CGAAUGGCUCAUUAAAUCAGUUAUCGUUUAUUUGAUAGUACCUUACUACAUGGAUACCUGUGGUAAUUCUAGAGCUAAUACAUGCUAAAAACCUCGACUUCGGAAGGGGUGUAUUUAUUAGAUAAAAAACCAAUGCCCUUCGGGGCUCCUUGGUGAAUCAUAAUAACUUAACGAAUCGCAUGGCCUUGCGCCGGCGAUGGUUCAUUCAAAUUUCUGCCCUAUCAACUUUCGAUGGUAGGAUAGUGGCCUACCAUGGUGGCAACGGGUAACGGGGAAUUAGGGUUCGAUUCCGGAGAGGGAGCCUGAGAAACGGCUACCACAUCCAAGGAAGGCAGCAGGCGCGCAAAUUACCCAAUCCCGACACGGGGAGGUAGUGACAAUAAAUACUGAUACGGGGCUCUUUUGGGUCUCGUAAUUGGAAUGAGUACAAUUUAAAUCCCUUAACGAGGAACAAUUGGAGGGCAAGUCUGGUGCCAGCAGCCGCGGUAAUUCCAGCUCCAAUAGCGUAUAUUAAAGUUGUUGCAGUUAAAAAGCUCGUAGUUGAACCUUGGGUCUGGCUGGCCGGUCCGCCUCACCGCGAGUACUGGUCCGGCUGGACCUUUCCUUCUGGGGAACCCCAUGGCCUUCACUGGCUGUGGGGGGAACCAGGACUUUUACUGUGAAAAAAUUAGAGUGUUCAAAGCAGGCCUUUGCUCGAAUACAUUAGCAUGGAAUAAUAGAAUAGGACGUGCGGUUCUAUUUUGUUGGUUUCUAGGACCGCCGUAAUGAUUAAUAGGGAUAGUCGGGGGCGUCAGUAUUCAGCUGUCAGAGGUGAAAUUCUUGGAUUUGCUGAAGACUAACUACUGCGAAAGCCUUCGCCAAGGAUGUUUUCAUUAAUCAGGGAACGAAAGUUAGGGGAUUGAAGACGAUCAGAUACCGUUGUAGUUUUAACCAUAAACUAUGCCGACUAGGGAUCGGGCGGUGUUUUUAUGAUGACCCCCUCGGCCCCUUACGAGAAAUCAAAGUUUUUGGGUUUUGGGGGGAGUAUGGUCGCAAGGCUGAAACUUAAAGAAAUUGACGGAAGGGCACCCCAAGGCGUGGAGCCUGCGGCUUAAUUUGACUCAACCCGGGGAAACUCACCAGGUCCAGACAAAAUAAGGAUUGACAGAUUGAGAGCUCUUUCUUGAUCUUUUGGAUGGUGGUGCAUGGCCGUUUUUAGUUGGUGGAGUGAUUUGUUUGCUUAAUUGCGAUAACGAACGAGACCUCGGCCCUUAAAUAGCCCGGUC
rnacentral:rRNA from 1 species